rnacentral:rRNA from 1 species
UACGUAGGGUGCGAGCGUUAAUCGGAAUUACUGGGCGUAAAGCGUGCGCAGGCGGUUAUGUAAGACAGAUGUGAAAUCCCCGGGCUCAACCUGGGAACUGCAUUUGUGACUGCAUUGCUGGAGUGCGGCAGAGGGGGAUGGAAUUCCGCGUGUAGCAGUGAAAUGCGUAGAUAUGCGGAGGAACACCGAUGGCGAAGGCAAUCCCCUGGGCCUGCACUGACGCUCAUGCCCGAAAGCGUGGGGAGCAAACAGG